rnacentral:rRNA from 1 species
UGGGGAAUCUUGCACAAUGGGGGAAACCCUGAUGCAGCGACGCCGCGUGAGCGAUGAAGCCCUUCGGGGUGUAAAGCUCUUUCGGCAGGGACGAUAAUGACGGUACCUGCAGAAGCAGCUGCGGCUAACUACGUGCCAGCAGCCGCGGUAAUACGUAGGCAGCGAGCGUUGUUCGGAGUUACUGGGCGUAAAGGGUGUGUAGGCGGUUCUCUAAGUUUGGUGUGAAAUCUCCCGGCUCAACCGGGAGGGUGCGCCGAAAACUGGAGGGCUAGAGUGCGGGAAGGGAGAGUAGAAUUCCUGGUGUAGCGGUGAAAUGCGUAGAUAUCAGGAGGAAUACCGGUGGUGUAGACGGCUCUCUGGACCGCGACUGACGCUGAGACACGAAAGCGUGGGUAGCAAACAG